rnacentral:rRNA from 1 species
AUGAACGCUGACAGAAUGCUUAACACAUGCAAGUCUUUGGCGAAGCUGUGCUUGCACAGCCUAGCCAAGGCGGACGGGUGAGUAACGCGUAAGGAACUUGCCCUGCAGUCAGGGAUAACAGACGGAAACGACUGAUAAGACCUGGUAAAGUCAGGCGGACUCAUGUCCAGCCUGAUGAAAAGAGAUGCUGCAGGAGAGCCUUGCGUCCUAUUAGCUUGUUGGUGGGGUAACGGCCCACCAAGGCGAUGAUAGGUAGCCGGCCUGAGAGGGUGGACGGCCACAAGGGGACUGAGAUACGGCCCUUACUCCUACGGGAGGCAGCAGUGGGGAAUAGUGGACAAUGGGGGCAACCCUGAUCCAGCAGUUCUGUGUGCACGAUGAAGGUUUUCGGAUUGUAAAGUGCUUUCAGCAGGGAAGAAAAAAAUGACGGUACCUGCAGAAGAAGCGACGGCUAAAUACGUG